GAUGAACGCUGGCGGCGUGCCUAAUACAUGCAAGUCGAGCGAACGGACGAGAAGCUUGCUUCUCUGAUGUUAGCGGCGGACGGGUGAGUAACACGUGGAUAACCUACCUAUAAGACUGGGAUAACUUCGGGAAACCGUAGCUAAUACCGGAUAAUAUUUUGAACCGCAUGGUUCAAAAGUGAAAGACGGUCUUGCCGUCACUUAUAGAUGGAUCCGCGCUGCAUUAGCUAGUUGGUAAGGUAACGGCUUACCAAGGCAACGAUGCAUAGCCGACCUGAGAGGGUGAUCGGCCACACUGGAACUGAGACACGGUCCAGACUCCUACGGGAGGCAGCAGUAGGGAAUCUUCCGCAAUGGGCGAAAGCCUGACGGAGCAACGCCGCGUGAGUGAUGAAGGUCUUCGGAUCGUAAGACUCUGUUAUUAGGGAAGAACAUAUGUGUAAGUAACUGUGCACAUCUUGACGGUACCUAAUCAGAAAGCCACGGCUAACUACGUG
rnacentral:rRNA from 1 species